UAAACCCACCACACAAUAAAAUUUUUGACAGCAUGACAGGGCUAAUAUGUUACUACCCAGCCUGCAAGUGUAAAAUAGAACAAUUCAUACAGUUCACAAAAAUACAACCCAGCUAGUCAUGCCAACACAUUAACAUAAGCCAUCAAUUCAAAUCAUAAAUUUACAACAUACCGGUGGUCUCCAAUUACUCUAUUUUCAAAAUCAUUAUUCAAUUUCAAGACAAUUUAUAAAAUCUUUUCAUUUAAACACAUUUUUGUUUGCAAAACCUAAAAUUAGCCAUUUAACUCAAUUUCAUAAAAUUUUACCAAAACCGAGUUAAAACAUACUUUAGAUAAUUAAAAUGAUAAUAAGGUUACUCACUAUUUCGGGAGUCGAAUUUCUAGAGUACUCUGACUAUCGAUCCUCGGGUACAAUUUUCUUGCCUUUAUCGGAGGAUUCACCACCUAGACAUAGUACAAAAUCGAGAAACUUACUACAUUGGUACUAAAUCGAAAUUAAACUAAUUUAGACUACUAAUGCAUGAUAUGGAAUGCAAAAAUGUCUGAAUAGUCGUUUAAAUACAGUAUUCGACCUAAUUCGCAUUAUUCUCGGUGUAAUUGGCUAAAACCUCCAAUUUAACUCCAAAUCGAUUUUUUUCACUUUCUACACUCCAAUUAUACUUAAAAUACCUCAAUGAUUGUGAAAAUGAUUCAAUUUAUUAGUCCGAACCAUAAAUCGCACAUGUCUAUACAUUAGGUAAAAAUUUGAAUUUUCAUGCCAAAAUUUUCCAUUAAAUUUGUAGCCUCACCAAUCAUUAAAUACCACCAAAAUAUCAUCAAUUUCAGCCUCAAUAUCCUCCCUAGAAAAUUCGGCCAAUGAUGGGUAAUUGGAGAAAAAUGAAUUUUUCUUGUUGAUUUGUUUCUAGACAUGAUAAACUAACCAAAAACACUAACAUAACUUAAAAUCAAAUCAAUCCAAUUUCAUUCUCUCUCCAUACCCAUUCCAACCAGCCAUGAAUUCACCAUGAAAACAUGAAAUUUAACCAUGGAAAAUGAAAAAGAAAGCAUGGGUAGUGUAAAUCAUAAGUCAAAAUCAAGAAAUUUUACCUUUAUUAGCUUAAACCCUUAAAAUCCCACACUUUUUCUUCAAUUUUCCCACCUAGGUUUUGUUCUUUUUUCCUUUCCUCCUUUGUUCUUCUUUGGCUGGCCAUAUGAAUGAGAAAUGGGCUGAUUUUUGCUGAUUUUAAAGCUAAAAAAAUAAAUGGAUAUUAACUUGACAUGUGUCACCAUUUCAUUGGCCCAUUUUUUUAUUUCUUAACUAUUAAGCUUUCUCUCUCCACCAUAUAAAUCCCUUCAAUUAUCCAUGAUUAAAUUGGGUAAAAUCCAUGUGCUGGACAAGUGUCGGGUGUAUAAACUUACAAUUUUGCCCCUAGAAUGAUAAAAUUACCAUUUUACCCCUAUGCUUCGAAAAAUACUGGAAUUAUAAUUUUUUUCACUUAUCAACCUCAAAUGAUACUCCAAUACUCAAAUCAUACUCCAAUAAGUCAAAUGGAGCCAAAAAUCUUUUCUAAAAAUUCUCAUUUUGUCCCCAAGUGGUAGAUGACCAUUUUGCCCCGUAGGUAGUGAAAAUUUCGGUUUGACUCCAAAUUAAUCCUCAAACUCCAAAUUACCAUUUUGAGUCAUCCCUAGACUGUGAAGCUCUUUAUCUCACCUUAAAAUUUCUAUUUGAUCUAGUUCGAGGCUUAAAUCAACUUGGUUGUACCUCUAGGUACAAUACCUACUUUUGUAAAUUUUUUCGAGACUCUCUUAGUAUGCAGUCAUGCUAUCAUCACAUGUAUGUCAUGACAAGCAUUUUAAAAGGUCAGGCUUUACAGCACUAUCCCCCUUAAAAUAAAAUUUUGACUUCAAAAUUUCACUUACCAGAUUCCAAGAAAAUAUGUGGAUAUUGGUUUCUCAUCUGGCGCUCGACUUCCCACGUCAUCUCUUCCAUUUGAGCAUUUUUCCACAAUACUUUCACCAUUGGAAUGCUCUUGUUCCUUAGCACUUGAUCCUUUCGAUCUAGAAUACGUACAAGCUACACCUCGAACUUCAAAUCUUCAUGCAACUCAAUGGGAGGUGUCUCUAGAAUAUAGGAAGGAUCAGGAACAUACUUUUUCAACAUCGAGACAUGGAAAACAUUAUGAAUCUGAUCUAACUCCGAGGGUAAUUCAAGUCUGUAAGCCACUGGCCCAAUCUUUUCAAUGAUACUGAAGGGUCCAAUAUAUCUCGAAUUAAGCUUUCUCCGCUUCGCGAAUCGAAUCACACCUUUCAUUAUCCAAUAAAUACCAUAAAUUAUCACAAUAGUAUAAUCAAAUAAGAUUUAAUACUUGGAAUUCUCAAUUUUUUACCUUUCCAAGGAGAAACCUUAAGAAAAAUUUUAUCGUCAACUUCAAACUCCAAGUCUUUCCUUCGUUUAUCAGAAUAACUCUUUUGCCUAUCUUGAGUUGUCUUUAACCGCUCUCUAAUAAUCUUGAUUUUGUAAUUUGUCAAAUCAAUCAAUUCCACAUUAACCAAUUUCUUCUCUCCCACUUCAUCCCAACAAAGCGGAGUUCGACACUUCCUUCCAUACAAAGCCUCGUAUGGUGCCAUCCCAAUAUUAGACUGAAAACUGUUAUUAUACGCAAACUCCACCAAUUGCAAGUGUCUGUCCUAACUUCUAAUGGAGUCAAUGACACAAGCCAAUAACAUUUCGCUACAAACUCUACUAUGUCUCGUUUCAUACCCGGCCACCAAUAACUUUCUUUAAUAGUCCGAUACAUCUUGGUGCUUUCGGGAUGUAAAGCGUAGGCGGAAGAAUGAGCUUCCUCCAAAAUAGCUCGUCUCAAUUGAUCAUCCUUAGGAACACAAAUUCGGUCUCUAAGCAUGAAAGUACCAUCAUCGCUGAGUCUAAACUCACUAGUUUCUCCAUCUUGCAGCUUUUGAACUUCCUGUUUCAACCAAUCAUCGGAUUUUUGCAAUUCUCUGAUCUGAUUCAAUAAUGAAGGUCUCACAAUGAAACUAGCAAGUAGGGUUCCAUCCUCACCAUUAUUCAACUGGAUCCCUAGAGAUUUCAUCUCAAGUAAUAUCAAAAAAUAAGAACUCUGAAGUACAGCUAAUGAAGAUGAGGAUUUACAACUUAAAGCAUCCGCUACAACAUUUACCUUUCCAUGGUGAUAAUCAAUCACCAAGUCGUAAUCCUUAAUCAACUCCAACCAUCGUCUCUGUCUCAAGUUAAGCUUUUUCUAGGUGAGCAAAUAUUUCAAACUCUUAUGAUCAGUAAAAAUCCGACAAUGCUCACCAUAUAAAUAAUGUCUCAAAAUCUUCAAUGCGAAGACUACUGCUGCUAACUCAAAGUCAUGAGUAGGGUAAUUCAUCUCAUGUUUCUUCAACUGCCAGGAAGCAUAAGCUAUUACUUUCUCAUCCUGCAUCAACACACACCCUAAUCCCAACUUAGAUGCAUCACUGUAUACCACAAAUUCUUUUCUAUUAACAAGAAGUGUUAAAACGGGAGCGGAGGUUAACCGGUUCUUUAGCUCCUGAAAUUGAUUCUCACAAGCAUUAUCCCACUCAAACUUAACUCCUUUACGAGUCAAACGAGUCAGAUGAGCUGCUAUUAAUGAAAAUCCCUGAACAAAUCUCUGAUAAUAAUCGGCUAAGCCAAGGAAAUUACGAAUCUCAGUUACCGUUCUCGGUUGCUCCCAUUGUAAGAUGGCCUCAAUCUUCUUGGGAUCAACAUAAAUUCCAGCUCCAGACACAACAUGUCCCAAGAAAACCACUUCCUUUAACCAGAACUCACAUUUAGAGAACUUAGCAUAGAGUUCUCUCUCACGCAAAGUUUGCAACACAAUGCGCAAAUAGACAACAGGUUCAUCAUUGUUCUUCGAAUAAAUCAGGAUGUCAUCAUGAAUACUAUCAUGAAAUUAUCCAAGUAUGGAUAGAACACCCUAUUCAUAAGAUCCAUAAAAACUGCCGAGGCAUUAGUCAAACCAAACAGCAUCACCAGAAACUCAUAAUGCCCAUAACGCGUCCUGAAGGCAGUUUUUGGUACAUCCUGCUCCUUAAUCCUCAACUGAUAGUACCUAGAUCUCAAAUCAAUCUUAGAGAAUACCAUAGCCCCUCGUAAUUGAUCAAAAAGAUCAUCAAUUCGGGGUAAAGGGUAUUUAUUCUUGAUGGUCACUCGGUUCAGCUGACGGUAAUCGAUACACAAUCGAAGAGUGCCAUCAUUCUUCUUUACAAAUAGGACUGGUGCUCCCCAAGGAGAAAUGCUAGGGUGAAUGAAACCUUUAUCCAUAAAAUCUUGCAGCUGGACCUUCAGUUCCUUCAACUCUGCUAGAGCCAUUCUAUAUGGAGGAAUAAAAAUAGGUGCGGUACCCAGAAGUAAUUCAAUAGGGAACUCAAGCUCUCGAUCAGGAGGUAGUCUUGGUAACUCAUCAGGAAAUACAUCAAGAAACUCACUUACUAUUGGGACAUCCUCUAACUUAGGUUCCCCCUUUGAAGUAUCAAUCACGUGUGCCAAAUAAGCUGGAUACCCUUUUUGCACUAAUUUCAAAGCUUUGAUGGCCGAGAUUACACAGGAUGGUAAUACUCGAUGUUCCCCUACAAAUACAAUCUCUACUCCCUUCGAAUUCCAAAGAACAACUUCUUUUCGGAAAUAAUCUACGUUCGCUUGAUGUGUAGUUAACCAGUCCAUACCCAAUAUUAGAUCAAAAUCCAGGAUCUCUAGAGAAAUUAAGUCACCCCUAAAUUCUUCCUCACUUACCCUUACCCCACAAUCUCUAUAACAGGUAUUUCUAAUCAACUAUUCUCCUAGAAGGGUAUGCACUACAAUUUCUCCCUUUAAUGGUGACAGGUUUCUAUCAGCAAUUGAUGCAAAUGCCGUACUCACAUAAGAUCUAUCUGAGCCAGAAUCUAUCAAAACAUAAGCAUCUUUAUCAAAUAAAGACAUAAUACCUGUCACUGCUCCAAGUCAAACCCGUGCCUUAUCUUCUGUCACUACGAAAACUCUUGUCGAAGUACGAGUCUGUGAUUUUGAAAGUGGAUGUGCCGAGAUAUUACUCACCACAUCGGACCGUAUGGCUACUCCUUAUCUCGAUGGUAAUCUAGAAGAAUCUCUCUUUUGCAUAUCAGUGCGAGCUGGUGGAGAUGAUUCAGCUACAGUGGCUAGUCCUAGCCAUGGGCAAUUACUCCUAAUAUGACCCAACUGACCACAAUGAAAAUAUAGUGCAGGCCCCCUACACAACCCAACAUGAUAAUUCUCAUAAUUUCUGCAUCUGUCAGAACCUCCGAAACUCUUCCCAGAACCAGUCAUAGCAGAUCUGCUAAACCUCGAAGGUCUCUGCUGUGAUGGUGGAAAUGGAGGUCGAGGAGAUGUCACUGAAACAGAAGUAGUGCUCCCUGAAGUCGCUAAGUCCUUGCCUCUCCUUGGUGGUUGACUAGAAGAUACACCAAGAUUCCUUCUUUUUGCAAACUUGAUCCGAAUCCUCCUAUUCUCAGUCACGAGCUUCUCAGCCCGUAAAGCCAUCUAUACCACCUCCUUAUGUGGCUCCCUACCUGUAAAACCAAACCUUAUAAAUACAUGUACUGAGUAGCAUGUUAUUAUGUUAGGAAAGCACAUAAGAAAAGACGAAACCCGAUAUCGUACCUAAUGGUACACUUGAGUUGAUUUAACCUCGAACUAGUUCAAAUAGGAAUUGUAGGAUGAAAUUUAAUAUUUUAUAGUCCAAGAAUGACUAAAAAAUGAUUGUUCGGAGUUCGAGGGUUCAUUUGGGGUAAAAUUGAAAAUUUUGAUGUUCAAGGGCAAAAUCGUCAUUUUGCCACCUAAGAUAAUAAUUUGAUCAUUGAGUGAAAUUUUUGACCAAGAUUAACUAUUUGGAGUAUAAUUUAAUGAUAGGAAGUGAAAAAGUUUAAUUCUGGUGAUUUUUGGAGUGUAGGGGCAAAAUCGUAAUUUUGCCACCCACGGACAAAAUUUGAGAUUUUGAGAGAAUUUAGAUCAAAUUUGACAAAUUGGAGAAUGGUAUGAGUAUAAGGGAUGAAAAAUAUGUCUAUGGGCAAUUUUUCAGUUUUUUGGGCAAAAAUGUAAUUUUUCACUUUUACGGGGGCAAAAGUGUAAAUUUCAAAAAUUACUCCACCGAGACUUUGGAUAAGUCUGAGAAUUUUAUCUAAGCUAUGGAUAUGUGGGACAAGUGUAUGGUGAAAAUUUGGAAACAAAUGGAUGAAAUUUUAAAAAUGGGCCAAUGGGAAAGUGACACGUGGCAUUUUUUAAUGAAAUAAUAUUAUUUUAAUGAAAAGUCAGCCCAUUUAAACCCAAAUUUUGAGUGCUGGCCGGCCAUAAGGAAGAACAAGAGAGGAAAUAGAGAGGAAAGGAAGAAAAAAAGAAAAACCAAAGAGAAACAAGAAAAUUCAAAGGGAAAUUCGCGGUUUUCGACCGUUUACGCGUCUAACGGUAAGAUUUUUCGAUUUUAGCUUGAUUUCUACCUUUCCUAUGCCUUUAUUUCCAUUUAGCAUGCUUGAGGAGAGAGAUCAAAAAGUGAUAUCAAGGGCUGGACGAAAUUCUAGGGGAGAGAAAUUGAAAUUUUUAGGUUUUGAUUUUUAGUUAAAUUGAUAGUUUUAGUUAGUUAAAUGUGUUUAGAAAUUAAAUUGGGCAAGAAAUCAUUAAAUUUUCACAAUACCCACUCUUGGCUGGAUGCUCAAUGCUGUACAAUGAUGAUGAAUUGAUUUUAUUCUAAGGGAAAUGAAGAGAAAAUGAUGAAAAACGAUUAAACGUGAUAGAAAAACAAAGUAGAAAAUUAACCGAGUUAAUGUCCCAUUUUUGGCCGAAUUUUCCAAGGAAGGGAGUGAGCUGAUUUUGUUGUUUUUAGAAGGUUAUUGGCUGAUAUUUAAUGGUUAGAAAUGUUGGAGAGAGAAUGGGAUGAUUUAGAGCUAAAAUGGAGCGCGUUAGCAAUUUAUCGGGCAAAGUGCCAAAAAUAGGUUAAUACCGCGUUUAAGCCGUUUUAGGCUAUUGCAUUUCAUACCAUGCAUUAGUAUAGGAUUUAAGUUAAUUAUAUAGUGAUUUAGCAUCAAUGUGAUGAAUUGUGUAAAUUUUUGUAAUGUGUCUAGGAGGAGAGCCUUCCGGAAAAGGCAAAGAAGUCGUACCCGACGAGUAGUGAUCGGGGCGCUUAGAAAGCUUUUAGUUUGUACAAACGGUGAGUAAACUUAUUAUUAUUGUAAAUUAUCUAGAGUUUAUUUUAAAUGCCCUUUAUGUAUUUUAUGAAAUGAGAACGAGAUUAAAACGGGAUUUUUGAUGUUUUAGGAAUAAAUGUGACAAAUAAAAAUAUAUUGUAUUGAUUAUGAAAUUGAGUAAUUGGAGGCUACAAAUUGACUUGAAAAAUAUAUAUUUUCCUAGGAAUGGCUUAUGAGAAAUGAGUAUAUGUGGCUAUAUUUUGUGAAUGCAUUGGGAAAUUUAUGUAAGUUGUUUUACUAUGCAGGCUGGAUAAAUAAAUAAAAGCCACGUUAUACUGUCGAAAUUUUAUUAAAAUUGGUGGGUUAGUCACUGCAGUGACGGGUUUCCGUGGACUGCCUAUUAGAGGGGCACGGUAAACCCAGUUAUAUAGUUACUCCGGUUGUAGAGGCGAGGAGGGUAACUCCCGGGGUAGUAUUAGAGCUCACUUCACGUCGAACCCCCACGUGAAUGUGUAACUCGGCCAACGCCAAGGAACGGCUGGUUUUAAAAAUAAAAAUGUGUUUCACGUGUGAAUAUUUUAACACCCUUGGCGGACUCGGUUAGAUGCCUCGGCCAAGGUAUCCCCGAGGAUUAGUUUUGGCUUGAGCCUUGUUUUAAUAAAAGACAUAAGCCUUAACAACUGUUUUGGUAAAUUACAAAUAUUUUAUGGUUUAAGAAAUAAAUUGAAAACAUUAUGAAAUGGGUUGAAAUUUGUUGUUUAAACUUGCCUCCAUUUUACUCGCCUUUAGAUAUUUAUGAUAAUGUCUGUUUACUCAUUGGGAUUGCAAAAUCUCACCCAACUCCUUUCCACCCAUUUCAGGUUCAGUAUAGACUGUAGAUAGCUGAUCUCAUCGAGGACUACCAUUGGAUCUGCAUUUUCCAAACCGUAGGUUCACAGUCCUCUUUACUUUUGUUUAUUCGGGGGCCCUCUUGUUAUUGUAAAUUAAAUUAAAUAUUUUGGCUUACUGUAUUUCAGUAUGUAUAAAUUUAUUUAGCUUUUACGCUAUAAAAAUUAUUCACGUAUAACUCUAUAAAUAUUGUUUUAUAAGAAAAUAGAAUAUUUUCCUUAAUAUUUCUUUUAUUUUCUUAUUAUAUUCAAAUAACCAUAAUUUCGUUUUAAAUGAAGAUUUUAGACUUUUAAACUCAUUUUGAAUAUGAAUUAUGUGUUUUGUACUUGUAUAUUACGUUUUAGCCAGUUUCAAAAUUUUUGAGAAAAAAAUGACCAAAAUACCCCUGUGUGGUGAAAAUUUUAUUUUGAUUGUUUUUGAUCUAAAAUAGUGUAUAUUCUCUAAAAACUCGAUAUUUAACAACGAUUGCUCACAAGAAAGGAAAGAAACUAAUAUGUAAGCCUUGCGGGGUUCCGGUUGGCAUUCUGGAUAAUGAGUGUCAAUUGGGGACGUCGCGGCCAUUGUCAUGGGCCUGAGGGAGGUUCCGGGUUGUGACAUUACCAGUCACUGUCAUCCACUCUUUAAUCUCAUUAUGGAGCCCUUCCUCGAAAUAACUGACUUGAUCCUGCUCAGAUUUCACCAGAUCUGGCACAUAUAACAUCAACUUGUUAAAACGAGUCUUGUACUCCUCUACAGUUAGAUUUCCUUGUUUCAAGCUCAGAAAUUCUCUUUUCUUUUCUUUCUGAUGGAAAUAAGUGAAAUACUGACUAUCGAAUUCUCUGAGGAAGUCAGACCAUGUCUGAAGAGUAGUGGAACGGGACUUCACCGAAUUCCACCAAGUACGAGCCCUCUUCUCUAAUAAUCUCGUAGCCACCAUCAGCUUCAUGUCGUCGUCUAAUCCCAUAUCAAAGAGAGUCUCUGAAACCUGAUUAAUCCAGUCUUUUACCACAAUGGCAUCCAACUCACCCGUGAAAGACACACAACCCAAUUGUCUAGCCUCCUUUAGCUUCUUGGAAAUGGAUACAUCUUGUACUGACGGAACUGAAGGAGUAGUUGGAGGCACUAUAGGUGGAACUUAACCAGUCUGAGCUUGACCAGCCAUUGCGGUAAAGAAAGCUGCCAAUGCCUGUGCUGCCUCAGUAGGCAUGGUAGGAAUACCAGUGGGUGGUUGAGGAGAUAGAGGAUGUGGAGGACUAUCGGCCUGCUCAGUAGCUGGUGCUGCACGAAUAGUGGAUGCAGCCGAUUCCUCUCCUACUGCAUCUGGCUGAAGACGUUGGGAACGAUCUCUUCCCCUCCCAGCCAAUCUAGUGAGAGGAGGGCAUCCACGUCGAGGAGGCAUUAUAAUCUAUAAAAGAAUACGAGUAAGUUUAGGCAACCUUAGGCUCUAUAUGCAGAUGCAUGCAUUCUAUUCAACCUAACCUAACUUAAUCUGGGGCCACAUUGAUAUUGUAAAUUUUUAAAAUAACUUUAAAACCAAAAAAACCAAAAGCUCUGAUACCAAUCGAAUUGUCAUGACCCGGUACUCCCCUCGAGCCCGUGAUAAUCGCCUCGGUGUCCCGAUAGAUACUCAUUACCCGGAAUGUCAACCUGAAACCCCACAAGGCUUUAAUAUCAGUUUCUCAUUUCCCUUGUGAGCAACCAUUGUCAAAUAUCGUGUUCUAAAAGAUUUUAAGCUGUUUCCAACUUAAAACAAAUAAAAUAUUAAUUUCGUCUCACAGGGGUAUUUUGGUCAUUUUUUUAAAAAUUUCGAAACCAGCCAAUAAUGUAGUAUAUAAGUGCAGACCACAUAUUUCAAAAUCAAAAAUAAAUUUAGAUGUCUAAAACAUUCGUUUAAAACAAAAUUAUGAUUAUUUGGAUAUAAUAAGAAAAUAAAAUAAAUAUUAAGUAAAAUAUUCUAUUUUCUUAUUAAACAAUAUUUUCAGAGUUAUACGUAGAUAAUUUUUGUAGCGUAAAAGCAAAGUAAAUUCAUACAUACUGUAAUACAAUAAACUAGAGUAUUUAAUUUAAUUUACAAUGACCAGUGGGCCCCCGAAUAACCAAAAGUAAAGAGGACUGUGAACCUACAAUUUGAAGGAAUGCAAAUCGAAGGGUAGUCCUCAAUGAACUCAGCUAUCUACAGCCUAAUCUGAACCUGAAAUGGGUGGAAAGGAGAAUGGUGAGAUUUUAUAAUCCCAGUGAGUAAACAAGCAUCAUCCGAAAUAUCUAAAGUCGAGUAAAAGGAGACAAUUAAAAUAUUUCAUCUGAAUAUGUAUUUCAUAACAUAAAUAUUCAUUUCAUUUAAAUAUUCAACAUGGCUUAUGAGUAUCUUAAAAGCUUGGCUCCUGCCAAAAUCAUUCUCGGGGAUACCUUGGCCGAGGCAUCUAACUAAGUCCGCCAAGGCUGUUAAAAAGUUCUUAUACACGUAAACAUAUUUUUAGUUUGAAAAACACAACCAUUCCUUGGUGUUAGUGGAGUUCAUAAUCACAAGGUGGUUUGGCAUGACGUGAACUCUGUCCAUACCUCAGGAGAUACCCUACGCACCUCUCCGACCAAGGUACAUAUAUAUAUCUGGAUUAUGUGCCCCUUUAAUAGGCUGGUCCACAAAAUCCGCCUACUGCAGCAAGCUAAACCCACCAUACAAUAAAAUUUUUGACAGCAUGACAGGGCUAAUAUUUUACUACCCAGCCUGUAAGUGUAAAAUAGAACAAUUCAUACAAUUCACAAAAAUACAACCCAACUAGUCAUGCCAACACAUUAACAUAAGCCAUCAAUUCAAAUCAUAAAUUUACAACAUACCGGUGGUCUCUAAUUACUCUAUUUUCAAAAUCAUUAUUCAAUUUCAAGACAAUUUAUAAAAUCUUUUCAUUUAAACACAUUUUUGUUUGCAAAACCUAAAAUCAACCAUUUAACUCAAUUUCAUAAAAUUUCACCAAAUUUGAGUUAAAACAUACUUUAGAUAAUUAAAAUGAUAAUAAGGUUACUCAUUAUUUCGGAAGUCGAAUUUCUAGAGUACUCUGACUAUCGAUCCUCGGGUACAAUUUCCUUGCCUUUAUCGGAGGAUUCACCACCUAGACAUAGUAAAAAAUCGAGAAACUUACUACAUUGGUACUAAAUCGAAAUUAAAUUAAUUUAGACUAUUAAUGCAUGAUAUGGAAUGCAAAAACGUCCGAAUAGCCGUUUAAAUACGAUAUUCGACCUAAUUCGCACUAUUCUCGGUGUAAUUGGCUAAAACCUCCAUUUUAACUCCAAAUCGAUUUCUUUCACUUUCUACUCUCCAAUUAUACUUAAAAUACCUCAAUGACUAUGAAUAUGAUUCAAUUUAUCAGUCCGAACCAUGAAUCGCACAUGUCUAUACAUUAGGUAAAAAUUUGAAUUUUCAUCCCAAAAUUUCCCAUUAAAUUUCUAGCCUUACCAAUCAUUAAAUACCACUAAAAUAUCAUGAAAUAUCAUCAAUUUUAGCCUCAAUAUCCUCCCUAGAAAAUUCGGCCAAUGAUGAGUAAUGGGAGAAAAAUGAAUUUUUCUUAUUGAUUUGUUUCUAGACAUGAUAAACUAACCAAAAACACUAACAUAACUUAAAAUCAAAUCAAUCCAACUUCAUUCUCUCUCCAUACCCAUUCCAACCAGCCAUGAAUUCACCAUGAAAACAUGAAAUCUAACCAUGGAAAAUGAAAAAGAAAGCAUGGGUAGUGUAAAUCACAAGUCAAAAUCAAGAAAUUUUACCUUUAUUAGCUUAAUCCCUUGAAAUCCCACACUUUUUCUUCAAUUUUCCCACCUAGGUUUUGUUCUUUUUUCCUUUCC
rnacentral:lncRNA from 1 species